rnacentral:rRNA from 1 species
AUUGAACGCUGGCGGCAGGCCUAACACAUGCAAGUCGAACGAGUGGCGGACGGGUGAGUAAUGUCUGGGAAACUGCCUGAUGGAGGGGGAUAACUACUGGAAACGGUAGCUAAUACCGCAUACCAUCAGAUGUGCCCAGAUGGGAUUAGCUAGUAGGUGGGGUAAUGGCUCACCUAGGCGGCGAUCCCUAGCUGGUCUGAGAGGAUGACGAGCCACAAUGGAACUGAGACACGGUCAAGAGUCCUACGGGAGGCAGCAGUGGGGAAUAUUGCACAAUUGGCGCAAGCCUGAUGCAGCCAUGCCGCGUGUGUGAAGAAGGCCUGCGGGUUGUAAAGCACUUUCAGCGAGGAGGCGUUACUCGCAGAAGAAGCACCGGCUAACUCCGUGCCAGCAGCCGCGGUAAUUC